UACGAAGGGGGCUAGCGUUGUUCGGAAUCACUGGGCGUAAAGCGCACGUAGGCGGACUUUUAAGUCAGGGGUGAAAUCCCGAGGCUCAACCUCGGAACUGCCUUUGAUACUGGGAGUCUUGAGUUCGGGAGAGGUGAGUGGAACUGCGAGUGUAGAGGUGAAAUUCGUAGAUAUUCGCAAGAACACCAGUGGCGAAGGCGGCUCACUGGCCCGAUACUGACGCUGAGGCACGAAAGCGUGGGGAGCAAACAGG
rnacentral:rRNA from 1 species